UAAAUCAGCAAUGAUCUAUCUGAUUGUGGAGACCCAUUGGAUAACCGUGGGAAAUCUAGAGCUAAUACAUGCGUUGUAAUUAUGUGGUGCAGAGCAAUCUGUGCCGCAUAAAGCAUUUAUUGGUGAAAACCAACUGCUGGUGCGUGUCACAGCGUGCCAGUGUGGAUGAAUCUAGAUAACUUUGCUGAUCGUAGUGGCGUAACAGCCGGCGACGUUUCRRUURRRUUUCUGCCCUAUCAAUUGGUUGGUAAGGUAGUGGCUUACCAAGGUUGUAACGGGUAACGGGGGAUCAGGGUUCGAUUCCGGAGAGGGAGCCUGAGAAACGGCUACCACAUCCAAGGAAGGCAGCAGGCGCGCAAAUUACCCAAUCCAGACAGUGGGAGGUGGCGACGAGAAUUACUGAGUGGUAGCCUUAAUGGUUAUCGACUUAGAAUGAACGUGAUUUAAGAAAUCCGUUGAGUAACAACUGGAGGGCAAGUCUGGUGCCAGCAGCCGCGGUAAUUCCAGCUCCAGUAGCGUACCUCAAAGUUGCUGCGUUUAAAACGCUCGUAGUUGGAUCACAUGGUUAGGCCUAGUGAAUUAGCGUGUUAGUACGCUAAAUCCUCAAGUGUAGAUGUGACGGUGUGUUAUCGCCGUUGCAGUUUAUAUGUUGUGGAGUACUGCACGUUGAUUGUUAGCUAGGCUUAACUGAUUGCGUGUGGGGAUGGCAGUUGACCUUAAGUGAGUCGAUUGUUGUGUCCCAUGGAGUGUGCCUUGAAUAAAACAGAGUGCUCAAAGCAGGCUUGAUGCCUGAAUGUUAACAGCAUGGAACGAACAAUUGUGGCAACAUGAUGCUGGCGCAGCUGGCAAUGUACUUAUUUGUAUGUUGUCAUGUUGGGACAGUAUCAUAGCACCAACCACCAAUAUCGGAUGUUGGUUCCGUAUUGGGGUGAUGAUUAAGAGGAGCGGUUGGGGGCAUUGGUAUUUUGCCGCGAGAGGUGAAAUUCUUGGACCGGCAAAGGACUAACAAAUGCGAAGGCAUUUGCCUAGACCGUAUCCAUUAAUCAAGAACGAUAGUGGGAGGUUCGAAGACGAUCAGAUACCGUCCUAGUUCCCACCGUAAACUAUGCCGACUCGGGAUCAGUUUGGUGCUAUUACCAACGCUCGAAGUUGAUCCCCCUGGGAAACCUGAAGUUUUUCGGUUACGGGGGGAGUAUGGUUGCAAGGCUGAAACUUAAAGGAAUUGACGGAAGGGCACCACCAGGGGUGGAGCCUGCGGCUUAAUUUGACUCAACACGGGGAAACUCACCCGGUCCGGACAUCGAAAGGAUAGACAGAUUGAUAGAUCUUUCUUGAUACGGUGAUUGGUGGUGCAUGGCCGUUCUUAGUUCGUGGAGUGAUCUGUCAGGCCUAUCCCGGUAACGAACGAGACCACAAUCUUCAUUUGAGAAGCAGCAGAAUUCGACAAACGAUUGCUGGCAUGGUAACACAUGUCAGUAUAUUGUUUCUUGAGAGGCAGAAAAGUACCUUUGCUGUGAUUGCUUCACGGUGGUUGUAGUAAAGGGCACUGAUCUCCAUGCURCCGAGCAGUGCAAGGCUGAAAGGUUGAACACUGUAUCAUGAAGAGACAACUGUGUAUAUAUCAAAGACAGAGGAAGUGUGGCAAUAACAG
rnacentral:rRNA from 1 species